rnacentral:lncRNA from 1 species
AUUAGGGAGCUACCAUUUGAUUUUUAUGGGGGGGCUAGGAUGAAAUUUGAAAAAAAUAGGCAGGACAGGAGUUUUGAGUAAAAAAAAGGCAGGAUGAGCAACUUGGUAAAAAAAAAAAGGCAGGAUGACAAUUUGUGUAAAAAAAGUCAGGAUAAACUAGUUAAAAAAAAGGCAGGACCGAAUAGAUUAAAAAAUAAAAAGGCAGGACAGGGAUUACAACUAAAAAAAAAAGCAGGACAAAAUUUUUCAUCCUAGCCCCCCCAUAAAUAUCAAAUGGUAGCUCC